AUACGGAGGGUGCAAGCGUUAUUUGGAAUCACUGGGCGUAAAGGGUGCGUAGGCGGUUUGAUAAGUCUGAUGUGAAAUCCUAUGGCUCAACCAUAGAACUGCAUUGGAAACUGUCAGACUAGAAUACUGAAGGGGCAGAUGGAAUUAGUGGUGUAGGGGUAAAAUCCGUAGAUAUCACUAGGAAUACCGAAAGCGAAAGCGAUCUGCUGGGAAGUUAUUGACGCUGAGGCACGAAAGCGUGGGGAGCAAACGGGAUUAGAAACCCCAGUAGUCC
rnacentral:rRNA from 1 species